UUGAACGCUGGCGGCAGGCCUAACACAUGCAAGUCGAACGGUAACAGGAAACAGCUUGCUGUUUCGCUGACGAGUGGCGGACGGGUGAGUAAUGUCUGGGAAACUGCCUGAUGGAGGGGGAUAACUACUGGAAACGGUAGCUAUACCGCAUAACGUCGCAAGACCAAAGAGGGGGACCCUCGGGCCUCUUGCCAUCGGAUGUGCCCAGAUGGGAUUAGCUUGUUGGUGGGGUAACGGCUCACCAAGGCGACGAUCCCUAGCUGGUCUGAGAGGAUGACCAGCCACACUGGAACUGAGACACGGUCCAGACUCCUACGGGAGGCAGCAGUGGGGAAUAUUGCACAAUGGGCGCAAGCCUGAUGCAGCCAUGCCGCGUGUAUGAAGAAGGCCUUCGGGUUGUAAAGUACUUUCAGCGGGGAGGAAGGGAGUAAAGUUAAUACCUUUGCUCAUUGACGUUACCCGCAGAAGAAGCACCGGCUAACUCCGUG
rnacentral:rRNA from 1 species